rnacentral:lncRNA from 1 species
CUAUUACCUGUUCCAACUGGUAUAACUGUCGCAAAGAAUUCUUUUAUACAUUAUAGCUAUCAUCUGCUUCAAAGAGAUCCGCGGCCUUUCCAGUUUUCAAGAUGCCAAAAAUUAUGGCAUUUAGAUCUUUCUUUGCCUUAGGUGUACUGUCCAUGAUAUAUCAUGUACUGUUUUAAGGUGGGAGCAAACUGUAUCAUUUCCAGCUGAAUCAUCAAAAACUACUCACGGAUGGCUUUAAAUUCCUCAUAUUCCACAUUUCCAGCAAAUAGUACAAUAAUUUCAGUCUUAUAAAUAAUCCUCAUUCCCGUACAGAAU